GAUUCCAGCUCCCAUGUCUCUAGCCAGAUUAUGCCAUUUUUGCUCAUGUCUUUUAAUCCUUUAGGCUUAUGACUGGUAUUGUUCUGAGAGAUAUAUGUCCACUCCAGUGUUUUCUCUUGUAGCACAUAGCAGUUUUUGUGCAUUUGGGCCCUCUGUACAAAAUGUCUCAAGCUGUUAUUGAAGUAGGGACAAAUGAAGCUGAAGCAAUGUCCAGCACUGAAACCAUGCACUGGCCUGGCCAGCCUCGGGCCAAGAGCACCACAAACACAGGAGAUACAGUGAGGCUUCCAAAGCCUCACCCUCAGGACAUGGGUUUCACCCUCUGCAAGCUGUUGUGCAGUGAACAGGAGCCCAUGCCAACUCCUGAAUCUCUGUCUACUUUCUGCAGAGCAUAAUUGGCCUUUGAAACCACCUCGGGUAAGGCUUUCUGGGAUGAUUUUGCUGUUUCUGUGUUGCAAGUGUUACUGGUUUGGAGUUAAGGCAGAAGACACCUUUAGUAUUCAGAAGAAAUAUUUGGAGACAAAAUAAAUAAAAAAGAAAAAAUAGAAGGGAGUCA
rnacentral:lncRNA from 1 species